AGCCACCUCCCACCCGCCCCAGCCGUGCUCCACUGCCCGUUUGUAUCCCCAGCACAAUGGCCAUGCACUCAGUCUGGGGAAAAUAAAUGGGAUCUAUUGCCAGAUAAAAUUGACCCAAUACCUGCCCCUCUUCUUCGCCAGGAUCCCUGUGGGACCUGACUCAAGACAGUCAGGAGCUGUGGCUCAGGUUCCACAGUGGCCCAGCAUCUGCAGCCUGAGGGCAAGAAAAAGGGAGGAAUAGAGGCAUGGGAAGGCAGUUCCUAUAGAAAACAACCAUGGAAACCACAGGAGGGAAGCAGUGAGAGGAGCAACGAGUCAACAUAUUCCGGAGUUAAAGAAAACAAAAAAGGCAGCAGCAUGCCAGCCCUAAAAGUAUACAACUCUAACUAUUGUGAGUGCCAGCUUGCAGCAAGUUCAGUCUGGAGCCCUGGACCUGAGUUUGGUCCUUGAAAUAGUUUUGCAUGUUUCCCUAAAAUUGUAGGAAAAGUUUUGCUGAAAGAGAUCUCUUGAGGUCUAGCACAGUCCCCAGAUGCUUGCUCUCAUCUUUUUACUUUUGUAAUACAUCAUCCCCACCACUAUAUUUUUUUGCAAAUGACAAAAAGUAUCAGUAAAGGUGAUGCAGGGCAAGGUGGAGAUGGAUACAAAACACAAUGAAUACAAAAAGAGGUAACCAGCAAGCUUUAAUCUUUCACCAGCCUUGAUGACAGAAGAAUGGAAUGUGUGAAAACCAACUAAUCAUCUGGAUUCCUAGGAACCUUCUAACAGGUGCAUGGCAGCUACCCAUGGAGAGCAAGGCUUCUUUGUUCUAUAGCUCCAGCUUCCCAAGUUCAAGCAAUGGCCUAGGAAUGUGCAAUCACUGCCAGAGGUGACACUCUGCUUUACAAUCAUCACUGAUAGUUCCUUGCAGUGCAGACAUAUCACACUUGGGACAGGAUUUUGUCUGAAUGUAUGGAUUAUCUUGAAUCAGGAAACUAGUUACCCAGGGAGUUUAUCCUAUUUGGAAGGGAGGGGAAGGCUUCUGAAGGCAUAGGAACUAACAGACACUUUUCAAUGUAGAAAAGAAACAAUCAUUCAUUGUUCCUUUACAAUGAGGCUAUUAUGAAAAAGGUGAGUUGGGUUGUUUUAAUAGUGAGCUGCAGAGCAGAAGUGCAGCGAUCUUGAUCAGAUUUAACUGUUAACACUAUCCUCUGUCUUUCUAAAUACCUCUGGAUUUGCAUGUUUGGGUGCCUAAGAAAUAUUCACACGUAAGAUGGUAUCCACAGUCUGUUGAUUGAGAGAAAAUAUUGGGUAAUAUUUACAGAGGAGGGAGUAAGUCAUCUAUUGCUACAGAGAUAAAGCUACAACAAAACUAAGAACUAGUCAAGGCUGUAAGGGAUAGGUUAGGAAAUUAUUAAUACUAACAGUAACAAAGGUUACAGUGAAGUUUUCCUGUAAAGGAAAAGCCUCCAAUUAAGGUAA